CGUGUAGGCGGCGAUUUAAGUCUGGAGUGAAAGUCCUGCUUUUAAGGUGGGAAUUGUUUUGGAUACUGGAUGGCUAGAGUGCAGGAGAGGUUAGUGGAAUUCCCAGUGUAGCGGUGAAAUGCGUAGAGAUUGGGAGGAACACCAGUGGCGAAGGCGACUAACUGGACUGUAACUGACGCUGAGGCGCGAAAGUGUGGGGAGCAAACA
rnacentral:rRNA from 1 species